UAGUCGGCCUUAAAUUAUCAUUUAUUCAUUUAUUAUUUACUGAAAGAAAAUUGAACUAAAUACAUCUCGGAGACUUUCCUUUGUGAUUCUUUGCAUUUUUUAUUGCAUGGUGAAGGCCCAUGCUAGUGCAACUACCUGAUUAUGACACUACCCAGAUUUGACUAGAACUUGACAAUUUAUCAGUGAUAUGCAGUUAUUUGAGAAAAUGUUCUUUAAUAGCCGUGUAUCGUUGUUUGGAACUCACCGGAUUAGUUGUUGUGCAUGAUUCACAAGAAAACUAUAUCUGGAUAACAGGCAUGAAACAGACUUCUGAUUGAAUCUAACACCUGUAACAAUAAACAAAUAAAACAUGUAUUUAACAAAACGUCGAAUAAAAACUGUAUAUUUUAAACCGAAA
rnacentral:lncRNA from 1 species